GACAGAGGGGCCGAGCGUUAGGCGGAAUCACUGGGCUUAAAGCGUGUGUAGGCGGACUUCUAAGUACCUUGUGAAAUCCCACGGCUCAACCGUGGAACUGCUCGGUAUACUGGUCGUCUUGAGCCACCUAGGGGCGAGCGGAACAAGCGGUGGAGCGGUGAAAUGCGUAGAUAUCGCUUGGAACGCCAACGGUGAAAACAGCUCGCUGGGGGUGUGCUGACGCUGAGACACGAAAGCCAGGGGAGCGAACGGG
rnacentral:rRNA from 1 species